rnacentral:rRNA from 1 species
UACGUAGGGUGCAAGCGUUAUCCGGAAUUAUUGGGCGUAAAGAGCUCGUAGGCGGUUUGUCGCGUCUGCCGUGAAAGUCCGGGGCUCAACUCCGGAUCUGCGGUGGGUACGGGCAGACUAGAGUGAUGUAGGGGAGACUGGAAUUCCUGGUGUAGCGGUGAAAUGCGCAGAUAUCAGGAGGAACACCGAUGGCGAAGGCAGGUCUCUGGGCAUUAACUGACGCUGAGGAGCGAAAGCAUGGGGAGCGAGCAGG